GUGGACUUUAUUAACUUAAAAUGGAGCAUUAAGAUAAUACAAAACAUAAUGAGCACACACCCGGCCUCUACAUAGUUAGGAUGCACAUAGCCAACAUCAACACACACACACAAAAAUACACCAACAAAUAGCAAAGUCAAAUAAGACCAACUAUACGUAGGCGAGGAAAAAAGAAACACAAAGGAUCAGAUCCGCCAUUAGCAAACUACAUCAAUGACCAUAUCUGCACCCAGGACAUCACAGGAAUGACGAGAUUCUUCAACAGUAACGCCUUCAAGAAGGAAGGAGCUCAAGCUUCGUCGUCACCGGAUUCAACCACUCAAGGUCAGAAUCUAGGUUUUCACCCUGAAGAAUUAGACCGAACAUAUCCGAGCAAUGCCUUCAAGAAGGUAACGAUGUAAAAGCAUCGCCAUUGCCAGGUAUAACCAACCGGGAUCAGACCUAGGCUUCCGCCCCGGAGCUCGAGACUAGGUGCUCGAGAAGCACCACCAUCGAUGCCAAUUAUGUGUUGUCGUCACCACUUUUCCACGAUCCCAGCAGCUGCAUGCGAUGUGAGACCGCAACCACCGCACAACCAUCCCUUUGCAUCAAGCCACCGUCUAUUGUUCGCAGCUCGCCGCCGAAGUUAACCACCGGAUCUGGAGAGAGGAACCCUCACAAAGACCUUCCGAUGGCCACUGCACUCCACAGCAAGUCUGUUGUUGCAUGUCGGGGUGGUCACCACAAGGACAACCAUCAACGGUAAGGCUCACCACCACUGUGACACCGUCUACCACCUCGCCCAAGAGAGUCCUGCAUAGCCUGAACUGCAGCUCGACGAGAGAUCAGCCGAUGGCCGCAUGGUUAAUUAGGCCGGAUCCAGGCGAUAGGCCAGCGCGUCCUAGUGCGGGCUCUGUGGCAGCUUAGGGGCCGUUUGGUUCGAGGGCGAAGUUGGUUGGCUGGUGAUAUCCCCAGCCACCUGGUUAGGGAUAACCACAUCUGAUUGUUUGGUUGAAUGGGAUUAGUUGAGCCAUAUUUUGUUGUUUGGAUGGAAGGAUGAGAAGUGGAUAGAUAGGCUUUUGUAUUAUCUGAGUACUAGUAUCAAACAGACAUAAAAGGGGAGACCAGUAGUGUAUGACAUGGAUUAACACAGAUCAGUAGUAUGUAUCAAAUCGGGGCUGGCUUGCUGAUUCUAUUCGUCGGCUCGGUGCUCCUCCGUGCUAGCUUGAGAGAAAGGGAAAGAUGAAUCAGAUCUAGUACAAAGAGGGAUCGAGAUGUAACUUGCCGCUGGCGCCUCCGUUCUCCGGGUCCUCGAGCGCCCCCAUUCCGAUCCGGGAUCGCCUCAAGCGCCGCCGCUCCGAUCCGGAAUCGCCGCCGCUGCCGUGAGGCGAGAACAGAAAAAAGAGAGGAGCAAAACGCUUCAGCGCGGGUGGGUGGCUGCCCUCGUCCGCCAGUUUCUCGCGGCUAUCGAUAGGCAAGUUUUCG
rnacentral:rRNA from 1 species